rnacentral:rRNA from 1 species
CUGAAAGGCAGGAGUGCCCGCAAGGGAGCGCGGAGACAGGUGGUGCAUGGCUGUCGCCAGCUCGUGUCGUGAGAUGUUGGGUUAAGUCCCGCAACGAGCGCAACCCUCACCCCUUGUUGCUACCAGGUAAAGCUGGGCACUCUAGGGGAACUGCCCCGGUCAACGGGGAGGAAGGCGGGGAUGACGUCAAGUCAUCAUGCCCCUUACGUCCUGGGCUACACACGUGCUACAAUGGCCGGUACAAAGGGAUGCCACACCGCGAGGUAGAGCUAAACCCAAAAAGCCGGUCUAAGUUCAGAUUGGAGUCUGCAACUCGACUCCAUGAAGGAGGAAUCGCUAGUAAUCGCGUAUCAGCACGACGCGGUGAAUACSUUCCCGGGCCUUGUACACACCGCCCGUCACACCACGAAAGCCAG